rnacentral:misc_RNA from 1 species
AAGGAUCAUUAUUGAAAUUACUUUGGUAAAUCAUCUUAUGAUUAAUCACCCUGAUGUCGACCUAUAUGUUGCUUCCGCCUUGCUAUUGCUGCUGGUGGAAGGCUAUUAACAAUCUAAAUCAUGUAGUAUAUGUUUUUCUGAAAUGAUUUUAUAAUAAAUUAAAACUUUCAACAACGGAUCUCUUGGUUCCU